rnacentral:rRNA from 1 species
AUUGAACGCUGGCGGCAUGCCUAACACAUGCAAGUCGAACGAGACCUUCGGGUCUAGUGGCGCACGGGUGCGUAACGCGUGGGAAUCUGCCCUUGGGUUCGGAAUAACAGCGAGAAAUUGCUGCUAAUACCGGAUGAUGACGUAAGUCCAAAGAUUUAUCGCCCAAGGAUGAGCCCGCGUAGGAUUAGCUAGUUGGUGAGGUAAAGGCUCACCAAGGCGACGAUCCUUAGCUGGUCUGAGAGGAUGAUCAGCCACACUGGGACUGAGACACGGCCCAGACUCCUACGGGAGGCAGCAGUGGGGAAUAUUGGACAAUGGGCGAAAGCCUGAUCCAGCAAUGCCGCGUGAGUGAUGAAGGCUUAGGGUGUAAAGCUCUUUUACCCGGGAUGAUAAUGACAGU